rnacentral:rRNA from 1 species
UACAGAGGGGGCAAGCGUUGUUCGGAAUUACUGGGCGUAAAGGGCGCGUAGGCGGCCUGUUAAGUCGGACGUGAAAUCCCCGGGCUCAACCCGGGAACUGCGUCCGAUACUGGCAGGCUUGAAUCCGGGAGAGGGAUGUGGAAUUCCAGGUGUAGCGGUGAAAUGCGUAGAUAUCGUCUGGAACGCCGAAGGUGAAAACAGCUCGCUGGGGCUGCGCUGACGCUGAGACACGAAAGCCAGGGGAGCGAACGGG